rnacentral:lncRNA from 1 species
GGGCUCCUCAGUCCUGUCAGCCCGAGGACACCUCUGCGGAAUGUCGACAGGGGGCUGGGCAUCUGGGUCUGGAGGCAAGGCCAAGGGUCCCUGUGGCCUGGGUCUCAGGAGCUGGUCUGGGGAGGGGAGUGAGGCGGGGAGAGGACCUGCGUGGAGCUGAGAGGAUGACCUGGUGAAGGAGGCUGUGGAGCAGAAGCCAGAGGGCGGAGCGGGACCACAGAAACGUGCAGAUGCUCUGUGGAGUCGCCGGCAGCUCGGCAGGAGAAGCCUCCAAGUGUCCUGGGAGGGCUGGCACGGGGGCUCAGCAGUCAGCACCGCGAGAGCGACGGUUCAGUCAUGGGAGGACGUAGGAGCCCUCCAGCCUCACUGCUCAGCGGAGAGGCCACAGCGCGCUCCCUGGGGCUCCCGGCAGGACUGGGGCCUCCGGUCACCACAGGACACACGCAAAGCUCUGGCUGACCUGCCCAAAGCCACCCAGAAAGUGCGGGAGGCUGGUCCAGUCAGUGUCCCAGACGCUCGCCUGCCCGGGAGGAGGCCGGGCCGCGGUGCGCGGUUUCAGCACACGCAGAAAUGCAUAGGCGCUGCGGGGAUUCGUGACUGUGGCUGGCAGCAGGGACAAGCGUGGAGCACGGGGCACUCUAGUAGAUGCCGCAGGGGCCACUAGCCCCUCCAAAGGCUGUGAACGCUUCCAAGUGUCCCCCAUUGAGCUCCCAGCAACUCCCGUUUUACAGAUGGGAAAACCAGGCUCUUACAAAACACGUAUGUUCCUAAAACAUAAUAUUUUAAAUAAAUUUUGUAAAUGAAAUGCUUCACACAGCCUACAAAUCUGAUCAUUUAAAAUAAUCGUAAUUUUUAAUAUCAUAAUAUUGUGAAAACUGAAUUUUCCUAUAUUAGAACCGAUUCACGCUCAUCUGUCUGUCCCAUCACACACCCUGAAGGUUUUAUUUUAAAUUUAAAAAAUCUUACUUCCAAGUGAUUUGUCUCCUAAAAGUAGCCUGCCCCAGUGGCUCCCCCACCCGCUUCACUUCCCACCCCACGCCUGUUUAUUCCUUCUUUUUUUUUUUUUUUUUUUUUUUUGAGGCAGAGUCUUGCUCUGUUGCCAGGCUGGAGUGCAGUAGCGCGAUUGGACAAGCUGGACAUCUGCCUGCUGGCUAAAGCUCAAGCCUGAACAGUGAGUGGCUAUCCUACCAUCUCCUUGCAAGAAUGGCUGUGUUCUUACAUUAAGUGCUUUGAGCUGACACAAAAAAUAAAACACAAAGACAAAAACAAACCCACCUUAAAUUGCUUUUGACCCUCAUACUGGUAGUGGCAGCACUGGCAUUGUUAUUCUGAGACUGUUGCGUGUCUAUUGCGGGAUAAAGCCAAUGAGUCAUUAUGUGAUAUGCUAAUUCUAUCAUAUCUGGAGUUGCUGACAACCAAGAUUCUAAACUUAAUAAGGGUAUCAAGAUUAUGGGGGUAAAGAGCACGUACCUUUUAGAGGUCUGCUUCCAAAUAAUAAAGGAGAAGGGAAAUGAGUGUGGGCACGGAUGAAAGAAGAUUGGCUGUAAUUGGCCAGUAACUGGUGAAGCUGGACUUGGGGGUUUAUUAUACGACUGUGACUACCGUUCUACAUCCAGAAUUUUCCAUACUGUAGUCUUUUAAAGACGUUAACAUGCUUUGACCUGGAUUGAUAUUGUUGUAAAGAAUAAGGCAGAGAGUCUGCAUUACCUUUUUCCAAAAGGUCAGCCAGGGGUACCAGCAUCAUUUAUUGAGCACCAUGUCUUCUCUGCACUAAUCUGAGAUGCCACCUUUGUCACCAAGUCCCCAGAUACACUGAGGUCUAUUUCUGGCCUCUUGAUUUUGCACCUUUGAUUGGUUUGUGACCAGUUCUUGCCUGCACAAACUAUUUUAAUAACUGUAAUUCUGAAAUACAAACACAGGGUAGGCCUGUGGAUUGCGCCCCACUGACGAUAAGGGGCCAUGAAAGAAGUUCCAGCACUUCAGAAAACCAUUCCCACAGCCCAGCAGCAUCCUUUCACCGCCGGUCUCUACCUCCACUGGCUCGCCUGCUGAGUCUUCAACAUUCAAUCCACAAAUGAUAAAACAUCCACUAGGUGCCAGGUACCAGGGGAACAGAACAACAAACAGGGUCAAACAUUCUAGUAGCAAGAGGCCGAAAAUAAAACAGACCUGCUCUGCCCUCUGUGGAAGUCCAGGUACAGGCAUGCUCUCCUUCCCACACCCCUUGACUCUGGAGUGGCCAGACCUGUACUGCCCACACAGGGAGGUCAGCACUCUAGGGGUGGGCGGUGGUGGGCUGAAGGUCUCUGAAGUCACUCACUACACAAUCCAAAACCGCUUAUUUUCAAAAUAAUAAGCAUUUUAACAUUUAUUUUUAUUAACAUAACAAAACAAAAAUUUCCGUGCAUUUUUAAGAUAAAAAUCCUUCAGAACUAUAGGGAAUAGUGUUAAGAGUAGCUCCAUAAACUUGCUUAUCAAUAAAACAAGCAUAAGUGGUAAACAUUUUAAAAACCACCACUACCACCAUUCACAGUCUCUGGAAAUUGUCUAGGGAUACAGAACAAACAAAGAAAUCUUUAUUCAAGAAAAUCCACUAGGCCUUGGUAAGAAGCCUAAGAGUCUGCAGCCCUUGAACCGUGGCCUGCUCCCUCCCUCCCCCUCCUAGCCCAGUGGGGCAGAAACUCUCCUGUGGUGGGUGCAGCCCAGAACACAGAGCUCCCUUUCCCCCAGCUCCAGAAGGAGGGUUGGUUAUACGAUCUCCCUCUCAUUCCCCCAGCUCCCGAUAGAGGAUUAUGCGAUCUCCUUCCCAUCUCCCCAUGCUCUUCUUUUCCUCAUCAAAUAGAGAAUAUCAAUAAAGAGAUAAAAAUUAUUAUUAUUAUUAUUACUAUUUUUAGAUGGAGUCUCACUCCGUCGCCAAGCUGGAGUGCAGUGGUGCGAUCUCGGCUCACUGCAACCUCUGCCUCCCGGGUUCAAGUGAUUCUCCUGCCUCAGCGUCCUGAGUAGCUGGGAUUACAGGCGCCCACCACCACAUCUGGCUAAUUUUUGUACUUUUAGUAGAGACGGGGU